CACAUUUGAGUUCCAGGAAGCCAGUAAGAGGGAGAAAAGAAGUGCAUGUUGAUUUACUUUAAAGAAGACUUCUAGGGAGAACCACCUAAAAUUCCCCAACCUAGUCACACAAUCUUAUCUGGCUGCAAUCGCACCUGAAAAAUGCAGUUUUACUCCAAACGCGUUCUGCACAAUCUUCAUCCAUCUUUAGAAUAUCCUCGUAAGCUGGGGAUCAAUUCAGCUUAGAAGAAACCAAAGGAAGAAUGUGACUUGGAGUAAAAUCUUCAUUCCUAGCGGUUGCAUUGAUAAACCAUCAGCUCCCCAGUCUGAACAGUAGAUGGUUCUCAAGGGUAACGCCCCUUCGCACUUCUCACCCCAGCACGCGGACGAGCGCUGGCACUGGAGGAGCCUCGCGAAGAAAAGCUGAUAACAGGGAAAACUAAUAGAACUCACUUCCUCAGUCUGAACCUGCUUCUAUCUUAUAUUGACUUUUAUUUCCCUAAAUAGAAGAGCUUCCCAUACGUCAUAUACAUUUACAUAUUUCAUCGAGAACAAGAAAUAUCAACUGGCUAGAACUAUAAUUACAACAUAUUUUCUUUUCCUCAACAUGAUGAAAGGUAUUUUAAGUACCUCUUUAUGGGCCCUUUUCUAAGCACUGUACUUAACUGAUUAAGAAACCACGAAAAUCAUUUAAGUAUUUCUAAUGUCUAUAAAUAAUAGUAAUAUUUAACAUUGAAUACUGUUAUAAAUGUUACAUCUAUUUACUCAAUUAAACAUUAAUAAAGCCGUUUUGUUAAGAA
rnacentral:lncRNA from 1 species